AUGUGUUUAUAAUUGUCUGCAGAUUCUUGUAACGGACCGAAGUGGUCAAUGUGUAUAAUAUCAAGUGGCAUCGUGGGGAAAGGGUACACUUGUGUUUCCCCCUCAAAACGAUUUGAAGAGCUAUUUGACAUCACGCAGCGCCGCAGUGAGCUAAAUCAUCGUGGUGGACACGCAACAUAUUUGUCACCAUUGACUCCGGAAUUACGAAUUUAAGUCUAUCUUCUAUUUUUUUAUAUACCAAACCGUCAUUUAACUCAAAUUUAUCACUAUCUUCUACUUCUAGGUGCUGACUGAUUUCCAGAAUUCUUGGAUCGGACAGCUGUAAAAACUCUAAACGCCUCUCCAAUGGAAGCUCGUCUACAUGGGCCACGCAUCUGCUGAGGGCGUCAACGUGAGCCAUGCGACUUCCUGGACGGUGCAUUAUGCCGCAUUGGUGCCGGAGCUAAAGUACGCUACUGGGGACCAUUUCCCCUCCUGCUGCCACUGCAACAGAAUCGCCCCGUACCCUAGACUGCACGCAUCUGUAUGAAGCUGAGUCUCUGCGGAGGGAUUAUAUAAACUCAACACCGGAGGAACUACUCGAGCACAAUACGGGGAGAUACUAGGCUGAAUUAUUCCCCGUUCGAGAAGAUCAUCGGUGAUUUUUCUGAGUUCCAACCGCUCAGCAUUCGCGAAACGUUUCGGAGCGAACGCGUAAAUCGACGGGUCUUUAAGAUGAACUUCGACGGUGUUAUUAUCUUCGACCGAUUGUUUUGCUCGGCCUCGAUACAAAGCGGUAAAUACGCAAACAAAUUG